GUACACACCGCCCGUCACACCAUGGGAGUUGGAUCUACCCGAAGGUGGUGCGCCAACCUUGCAAGAGGGGGCAGCCAACCACGGUGAGUUCAGCGACUGGGGUGAAGUCGUAACAAGGUAGCCGUAGGUGAACCUGCAGAAGGAUCA
rnacentral:rRNA from 1 species